UACGUAGGGUCCAAGCGUUAUCCGGAAUCACUGGGCGUAAAGCGUGUGUAGGCGGCGCGUUAAGUGCAACGCGAAAUCCUGUGGCUCAACCAUAUGGACUGUGUUGCAUACUGGCGUGCUUGAGGAUGGCAGAGGCAAGUGGAAUUGGUAGUGUAGCAGUGAAAUGCGUAGAUAUUACCAGGAACACCAAUGGCGAAGGCAGCUUGCUGGGCCAUAUCUGACGCUGAGACACGAAAGCGUGGGGAGCGAACAGG
rnacentral:rRNA from 1 species